UAGUUGAAAGAUGGUCUUUUGAUCAUUUCCGCUGAUGUCUUUAUGACCCACAGAUUAGCACCUCUACUUGCAGUUUUCUGUUCACAUUCAAAUGCUAUUUUUCCAGUUCUUUUUUUAUUGACAGAUCUCUCUCUCUUAUUAUAUGAAAUAUUAUUGGAGUGUAUUUCAUGGUACAUUUCCAUAUGGAUGAAGCAUGAGGUUUUCAUUUUCUCCCAUGUUAACUUCUCUAGUGAUGCUCUAGGUUUUACCUCCAGACAUGAGCUUGGCCACUGUUCGGGCUUACAUAUGGAAGAAAUCUGAAGACGUUAUCCUUAACUACAGAAUUGUGCAGGGAAGGUGAUGAAUUGAUUUCGCAGUGAUGUAGUAUGUGACUCACUCAUCAACUUGUAUCUGGUUUCGUCUCUUAGAGUUCGUUGCAAGAUCGUUUAUCGGCAUCUUCUUCUCAGUAUGAUUGAUAGGUUGCUUGUGCAUGUAAAUACUCAGAAAGUUGUCCAUCUUCAGAAGCUGGAAAUGUAACAUAUCACCGAAUCUUGGAAAACGAAGCAGUUGCUGGACAGAAGAAAUCUCAUCACAACUGUGCAGAGUGCUCUCUGAACUGAACGUCUUGUGAUGCGACGCGUGAUUAUCUUCCUUUUUGAGCACCGGUGUGGAUGGGUUUAGCCUUUUGAUUAUGCGGUAACUUGCAGACAUGCCGGGAGCUAAAAGCAUAUGUGGAAAUAUUUGAGAACUUUUCAACGGGUUAUUUUACCCAAAGAGGGAUUUGUAUUAAGAAAAACUACUGUUGUGAAGCAGUGAAGGUCGAUAGAUUUUGUUGAAAAAAUAAAAGCCUCCCCAAUUUCAGUUA